rnacentral:rRNA from 1 species
GUGGGGAAUAUUGGACAAUGGGCGAAAGCCUGAUCCAGCCAUGCCGCGUGUGUGAAGAAGGUCUUCGGAUUGUAAAGCACUUUAAGUUGGGAGGAAGGGCAUUAACCUAAUACGUUAGUGUUUUGACGUUACCGACAGAAUAAGCACCGGCUAACUUCGUGCCAGCAGCCGCGGUAAUACGAAGGGUGCAAGCGUUAAUCGGAAUUACUGGGCGUAAAGCGCGCGUAGGUGGUUUGUUAAGUUGAAUGUGAAAGCCCCGGGCUCAACCUGGGAACUGCAUCCAAAACUGGCAAGCUAGAGUAUGGCAGAGGGUGGUGGAAUUUCCUGUGUAGCGGUGAAAUGCGUAGAUAUAGGAAGGAACACCAGUGGCGAAGGCGACCACCUGGGCUAAUACUGACACUGAGGUGCGAAAGCGUGGGGAGCAAACAGG